UGUCCUUCUCGGGAUAGCGUCAUUUAAACAACGAGGGUAAGCAGAAUGAAAAAAAACAGAAAAAAAAACUGGAGGAGCCUACUGAAGAUGGGACUAUUACGGCUCGCGUUUUGGUGUCCUCCUCGGGAUAGCGUCAUUUAAAGAACGAGGGUCAGCACAAUGUAAAAAAAAACCGGA